AGAGUUUGAUCCUGGCUCAGAUUGAACGCUGGCGGCAUGCCUUACACAUGCAAGUCGAACGGUAACGCGGGGCAACCUGGCGACGAGUGGCGAACGGGUGAGUAACGCAUCGGAACGUGCCCAGUAGUGGGGGAUAGCCCGGCGAAAGCCGGAUUAAUACCGCAUACGACCUACGGGUGAAAGCGGGGGACCGUAAGGCCUCGCGCUAUUGGAGCGGCCGAUGUCAGAUUAGGUAGUUGGUGGGGUAAAAGCCUACCAAGCCGACGAUCUGUAGCUGGUCUGAGAGGACGACCAGCCACACUGGGACUGAGACACGGCCCAGACUCCUACGGGAGGCAGCAGUGGGGAAUUUUGGACAAUGGGCGCAAGCCUGAUCCAGCCAUGCCGCGUGCGGGAUGAAGGCCUUCGGGUUGUAAACCGCUUUUGUCAGGGAAGAAACGCUCCGGGCCAAUACCCUGGGGUAAUGACGGUACCUGAAGAAUAAGCACCGGCUAACUACGUGCCAGCAGCCGCGGUAAUACGUAGGGUGCAAGCGUUAAUCGGAAUUACUGGGCGUAAAGCGUGCGCAGGCGGUUNUGUAAGACAGAGGUGAAAUCCCCGGG
rnacentral:rRNA from 1 species